GGGGUUGUGGCUCAGUGGUAGAGCGCUUGCCUAGCAAGUGUAAGGCACUGGGUUUGAUUCUCAGCACCA
rfam:Ictidomys tridecemlineatus contig055584, whole genome shotgun sequence.